rnacentral:rRNA from 1 species
AUGAAUGUCAAACUUACUGCUGCUGUCGCGGAUGAUGAAAUUGAAAAGGCUUUAUUUCAAAUGGGACCAACAAAGUCUCCAGGACCCGAUGGAUUACCUGCUAUGUUCUAUCAGCGACACUGGUCGCUGGUACGUACUGAUGUAUGCAAGGCCGUUCGGGAUUUUUUGGGUGGCGCUGCGGCACCGGAUACCUUUAACGCAACUGUUAUUGUGAUGAUUCCGAAAGUAAACUCACCGGAGUUGCUUUCGCAGUUCCGUCCAAUUAGCCUCUGUAAUGUCCUCUACAAAAUUGCUACAAAAGUUCUUGCAAACAGACUUAAGAGUUUUCUUUCACUCCUUAUCUCGGAGGAACAUAGUGCUUUCGUCCCUGGAAGGCUAAUUUCAGAUAACGUUCUUAUGGCGUAUGAGUGUGUACAUGCCAUACGGACUAGAAAAAGAAGGAAAAGCCUAUGUGCGGUAAAAUUAGACAUGAUGAAGGCUUACGAUCGUGUCGAGUGGAUUUUUUUGGAGCAGAUUCUAGCAAGAUUUGGUUUUGCUGCUGAGUGGAUAGCUAUGGUGAUGAGAUGUGUGACUUUAGCAAAGUUUGUCGUUAAGCUAAAUGGGGCUGUCUCGAGGUGCUUUCUUCCACGAGGGCUGCGAUAGGGCGUCCCUUUAUCUCCCUAUCUUUUCCUAUUUUGUGUGGAGAGGUUCUCUGUCUUGCUGAAAAAGGCGCAUGAGGAAAAGAAAAUAAGGGGUGUGUCUUUUGGGGGCACUGGCCCGCAUGUGACUCACCUGCUUUUCGUAGACGACGUCAUUGUCUUUCUCGAGGGUACUAGGGCGAACAUGGAAGCGUUAAAGGACAUCUUGGUGAAGUAUGAGGAGGCCUCGGGGCAGCGAGUAAAUUUGCAAAAAUCCUCUAUCUUUUUUGGCGAAGGUAGUACGGAUACAACAAAAGCAGAGGUAAAGCAAGUUGUGGGCAUUGACUCUGAAGCUCUCAGUGAGCGUUAUUUGGGGCUCCCGACACUGGUUGGGAGGUCAAAAGAUGGUACGUUUAAAUAUUUCACGGAUUCAGCAAAAGGCAAAGUUAGUGGCUGGAAAGGUCAAGGACUAUCGAAGGCAGCUAGAGAGGUACUUGUAAAAUCUGGACUCCAGGCGAUGCCGACUUUCACUAUGGGUUGUUUUCACCUCACAAAGAAGAUGUGUCGGAACCUGACUUCAAUCUCGUCAAAAUUCUGGUGGGGUGCGAUGAAUGGUGAAAGGAAGGUCCAUCGGAUAUCAUGGGAGAAAAUGUGUGCUGCCAAACGUGAGGGAGGGAUGGGUUUCCGAGACCCGGAGGCUUUCAACCAAGCACUUCUGGUGAAACAGGCAUGGAAAAUACUUAUGUACCCGGGUUCUCUUUGUGCUAGUGUCCUCAAAGCUAGAUACUUUAAGGAAGGAUCGAUCCUAAUCAGCAGUCUGCCGAUUCUCUGGUUCCUUCACGUCUCGUAG